CGUGAUUUGGCAGAAAUAGGUCUCAACAAUACACUCAAGGACUUUGAAAGGAUGAGUAUAUGAAUAGAGAAAAACCUUACAUUGAUAGUGAGUUAAACUUGGAAAAACAUUAAGAGUGUAGUGAACUAUGGAGGCCUAAAUGGACAACUUAGUGAUAUGUAGAUCAAGAGAGAAAACUAAAAAACAAAACCAAUGCUGUUACUGUUUACAUGCAGGUACAUCUGUAUCCAGAAUAACAUCUGCUGUCUGUUCUCCAGUGUUCCAGAAGUCCUAGUGGAAUGGGAUCAUAGCCGAAAGGAGAACCUGCCUUGGUUUGGUCAGAAAAGGGUAUCGUGCAUGACAGGUUGAAAUGUGAAGUCCUGCCAUUUUGGAAGGGAGUAUGUACUGCAUCUUUCUAAGAUCUUCCAUGACCUGCACCACCAAACAUUUUGGACUCCUACAGUCUCUUUGUGAAUCCCUCAUUGAGUCUGGAUGUGUGUGCCACUCGGAGCAAGUCAACAAUAGGAAACUACGAGCUCUAAAACAGAAAGGCUUUGUGAAACACCAUUCAGGACAAACACACAGAGGUGAGAGAAUGGCUUACAG
rnacentral:lncRNA from 1 species